CGUAGGGUGCAAGCGUUGUCCGGAAUUAUUGGGCGUAAAGAGCUCGUAGGCGGUCUGUCACGUCGGCUGUGAAAACCCGAGGCUCAACCUCGGGCCUGCAGUCGAUACGGGCAAACUAGAGUACUGCAGGGGAGACUGGAAUUCCUGGUGUAGCGGUGAAAUGCGCAGAUAUCAGGAGGAACACCGGUGGCGAAGGCGGGUCUCUGGGCAGUAACUGACGCUGAGGAGCGAAAGCGUGGGGAGCGAACAGGAUUAGAUACCCUGGUAGUCCACGCCGUAAACGUUGGGCGCUAGGUGUGGGGGCCAUUCCACGGUCUCCGUGCCGCAGCUAACGCAUUAAGCGCCCCGCCUGGGGAGUACGGCCGCAAGGCUA
rnacentral:rRNA from 1 species